rnacentral:rRNA from 1 species
UACAGAGGGUGCGAGCGUUUAAUCGGAUUUACUGGGCGUAAAGGGCGCGUAGGUGGUAAAGCAAGUAAGAUGUGAAAUCCCUGGGCUUAACCUAGGAAGUGCAUCUUAAACUGCUUAACUAGAGUAUGGUAGAGGGUAGUGGAAUUUCCGGUGUAGCGGUGAAAUGCGUAGAGAUCGGAAGGAACGCCAGUGGUGAAGACGACUACCUGGACCAAUACUGACACUGAGGCGCGAAAGCGUGGGGAGUCAAACAGG